CUACUAGGGUCGUUGUGAGGAUUAAACAAUAUAAUACUUGUAAAGUGUCUUGCAAAAAGCUGGUUUUCCCAGGGUGAGGCUUAAUCAUUGCAUUCUGGAUGGGCUGAAACCUUCUAUUUCCCCAAAUGCUGGAAAUUCAGCAGCAUAAUUUGUGAUAGUGGGAGCCUACAUUCCAGUUUUACCUGA
rnacentral:snRNA from 1 species